CGCCCCGCGGCCGGCUCGGUUCCGAUCAGCGCCGGCGUUGCUCGGUAGCGGGGAGCGCCCCAGGAGGCCAGCGGGAGGCGAGGCCCAGACACCAGUUGACAAGAGUCUCCUCCGUCGCCCGAGGACUUUUACCUCCUUACCUUGAACUGACCAGCCAGAUCACAGACUGCUGGGUCACAGUGUCAUCUACUCAAGUUAGACAAGAGAAAUUCCGGGCGAAGCGGAUGGGGAGGGACAAUGGAAUAGGCGGGCCACUCUGGAGGCCUCCCCGGCAGCAGCGGCAUCAUCUGGCGGGUGUCUCUGGCUGAGGAGGAACACCAGACAGCCCAGUA